CCUACGGGUGGCAGCAGUGAGGAAUAUUGGUCAAUGGGCGUAAGCCUGAACCAGCCAAGUCGCGUGAGGGAUGACAGUCCUAUGGAUUGUAAACCUCUUUUAUAAGGGAAUAAAGUGCGCCACGUGUGGCGUUUUGUAUGUACCUUAUGAAUAAGCAUCGGCUAACUCCGUGCCAGCAGCCGCGGUAAUACGGAGGAUGCGAGCGUUAUCCGGAUUUAUUGGGUUUAAAGGGUGCGUAGGCGGCAUGUCAAGUCAGCGGUAAAAUCGUGGGGCUCAACCGAACCGUGCCGUUGAAACUGGGGGGCUUGAGUAUGCGAGAGGUAUGCGGAAUGCGUGGUGUAGCGGUGAAAUGCUUAGAUAUCACGAAGAACUCCGAUUGCGAAGGCAGUAUACCGGAGCACGACUGACGCUGAUGCACGAAAGCGUGGGUAUCAAACAGGAUUAGAUACCCGGGUAGUC
rnacentral:rRNA from 1 species